ACCAGACUUGCCCUCUAAUUGUUAAUCGUUAAGUGGUUUAAAUUGUGCUCAUUCCAAUUACAACUCCCUUUUCGGGACCUGCAUUGUUAUUUAUUGUCACUACCUCCCUGUGUUAGGAUUGGGUAAUUUGCGCGCCUGCUGCCUUCCUUGGAAGUGGUAGCCAUUUCUCAGGCUCCCUCUCCGGAAUCGAACCCUAAUUCUCCGUCACCCGUUAAAACCACCGUAGGCCUCUAUCCUACGGUUGAAAGUUGAUAGGGCAGAAAUUUGAAUGAAUCAUCGCCGGUGCAAGACCAUGCGAUUCGCAAAGUUAUUAUGAUUCACCAAAAACCGGAUUGCUCCGUAUGGUUUCUCAUCUAAUAAAUACAUCCCUCCCAAGCGAACCUAGUCGGGAUUUUUUGCAUGUAUUAGCUCUAGAAUUACUACAGUUAUCCAAGUAGAAAAGACUAUCAAAUAAACUAUUACUGAUUUAUUGAGCCAUUCGCAGUUUCACCGUAUAAAUAGUUUAUACUUAGACAUGCAUGGCUUAAUCUUUGAGACAAGCAUAUGACUACUGGCAGGAUCAACCAG
rnacentral:rRNA from 1 species